rnacentral:rRNA from 1 species
CCUACGGGUGGCAGCAGUGGGGAAUAUUGCACAAUGGGGGGAACCCUGAUGCAGCGACGCCGCGUGAGUGAAGAAGUAUUUCGGUAUGUAAAGCUCUGUCAGCAGGGAAGAAGAAAGACGGUACCUGACCAAGAAGCCCCGGCUAACUACGUGCCAGCAGCCGCGGUAAUACGUAGGGGGCAAGCGUUAUCCGGAUUUACUGGGUGGAAAGGGAGCGUAGACGGCAGGGCAAGUCUGGAGUGAAAGGCCGGGGCCCAACCCCUGGACUGCUCUGGAAACUGUCCGGCUGGAGUGCAGGAGAGGUAAGUGGAAUUCCUAGUGUAGCGGUGAAAUGCGUAGAUAUUAGGAGGAACACCAGUGGCGAAGGCGGCUUACUGGACUGUAACUGACGUUGAGGCUCGAAAGCGUGGGGAGCAAACAGGAUUAGAUACCCUAGUAGUC